rnacentral:rRNA from 1 species
GACGAACGCUGGCGGCGUGCUUAACACAUGCAAGUCGAACGGACAGGCCCUGCUUUUGUGGGGUGCUCGAGUGGCGAACGGGUGAGUAACACGUGAGUAACCUGCCCUUGACUUUGGGAUAACUUCAGGAAACUGGGGCUAAUACCGGAUAGGAGCUCCUGCUGCAUGGUGGGGGUUGGAAAGUUUCGGCGGUUGGGGCUGGACUCGCGGCUUAUCAGCUUGUUGGUGGGGUAGUGGCUUACCAAGGCUUUGACGGGUAGCCGGCCUGAGAGGGUGACCGGCCACAUUGGGACUGAGAUACGGCCCAGACUCCUACGGGAGGCAGCAGUGGGGAAUAUUGCACAAUGGGCGGAAGCCUGAUGCAGCAACGCCGCGUGCGGGAUGACGGCCUUCGGGUUGUAAACCGCUUUCGCCUGUGACGAAGCGUGAGUGACGGUAAUGGGUAAAGAAGCACCGGCUAACUACGUG